UGGGGAAUCUUGGACAAUGGGGGCAACCCUGAUCCAGCCAUGCCGCGUGAGUGAUGAAGGCCCUAGGGUUGUAAAGCUCUUUCAACGGUGAAGAUAAUGACGGUACCUAGUAAAGAAGUCCCGGCUAACUCCGUGCCAGCAGCCGCGGUAAUACGGAGGGGGUUAGCGUUGUUCGGAAUUACUGGGCGUAAAGCGCACGUAGGCGGACCAGAAAGUUGGGGGUGAAAUCCCGGGGGCUCAACCCCGGAACUGCCUCCAAAACUAUUGGUCUAGAGUUCGAGAGAGGUGAGUGGAAUUCCAAGUGUAGAGGUGAAAUUCGUAGAUAUUUGGAGGAACACCAGUGGCGAAGGCGGCUCACUGGCUCGAUACUGACGCUGAGGUGCGAAAGUGUGGGGAGCAAACAGGAUUAGAUACCCUGGUAGUCCACACCGUAAAACGAUGAAUGCCAGUCGUCGGGUAGCAUGCUAUUCGGUGACACACCUAACGGAUUAAGCAUU
rnacentral:rRNA from 1 species